rnacentral:rRNA from 1 species
GUCCAUGCCGUAAACGUUGGGAACUAGGUGUGGGUCUCAUUCCACGAUAUCCGUGCCGCAGCUAACGCAUUAAGUUCCCCGCCUGGGGAGUACGGCCGCAAGGCUAAAACUCAAAGGAAUUGACGGGGGCCCGCACAAGCGGCGGAGCAUGCGGAUUAAUUCGAUGCAACGCGAAGAACCUUACCAAGGCUUGACAUAUGCGAGAACGCGGCAGAGAUGUCGUUCUCUUUGGACACUCGUAUACAGGUGGUGCAUGGUUGUCGU